rnacentral:rRNA from 1 species
UGGGGAAUAUUGCACAAUGGGGGAAACCCUGAUGCAGCAACGCCGCGUGAGUGAUGAAGGUUUUCGGAUCGUAAAACUCUGUCUUUGGGGACGAUAAUGACGGUACCCAAGGAGGAAGCCACGGCUAACUACGUGCCAGCAGCCGCGGUAAUACGUAGGUGGCAAGCGUUGUCCGGAUUUACUGGGCGUAAAGGGAGCGUAGGUGGAUUUUUAAGUGAGAUGUGAAAUACUCGGGCUCAACCCGAGAACUGCAUUUCAAACUGGAAAUCUAGAGUGCAGGAGAGGAAAGUGGAAUUCCUAGUGUAGCGGUGAAAUGCGUAGAUAUUAGGAAGAACACCAGUGGCGAAGGCGACUUUCUGGACUGUAACUGACACUGAGGCUCGAAAGCGUGGGGAGCAAACA